GCGCCGCUGGGGACUCGGCGUGAACCGGGCAGCGGGCGCGCGGUCUCGCUCGGAGCCCAGCCCCAGCGGCAGGCGCCAGGAGCCGCAACGCUGGGCAGGGCUGGCGCCGCUUCCACCCGGGCACCCGCCGCUCUGUCGCUCCGGGCGCCCAGGCUCACCGGGCAUUUCUAAAUUGUAAAAAGUUUUUAUCAGAUGGUAUGGGCUGAGCAACGCUGGGAUUGGAAAGUAAGACAAGAAACUAUCACCCACCCCCUCCCCCGCCCGCUGAUUUGAAUGCUUAUUAGAUGGACCCUGGAUUCUAGUCUUGGUGUACGCGCCCACGUGUAAGAGGAAGCAACCACAGCUCUCUAGACACACUCAUGCCGCCAAUCUCAUGAAAUAAGAGGGACCUUGUUUGCCUCACCCUGGUCCUGGUUCUGAAUGAAUGCAUGAAGGAAAGAGGUCAAAUUACAUCAAGGCCAUGUCCAUCUUUACCAUUAUGUUACCCAGAAUGGGGAAUAAUGGAUCUUCUAUGUUCAGUCCAUCUUUUUAAGAGACAGCUUUCUCCAUGUUGCCCAGGCUGGUGUGCAUUCUUCGCUUCAGCCAGGAGAGCUCCCUUGGAACUGGGUGCUCCUGCUUGGGAAAAAGGUGGACAACAGGAUGGCUGCCCUACUGAACUCCUGUGGUUCAUAGACCAUGAUGUAGAGAAGGUUUCAUACACCUCUUCUUGGCUCUCGCAUAUUGUUACAAUCAUUGUAUUUAACCUAGAAUUAAGUUGAGAGAACUGUAUGGACCCAUCAUCCAACUUCAACAGUUUUCAACUAUGGUUAAUAUUAUUCGGUCUAUUGCCACACCAGAUUAUUAGUUCUUUCUCCCUGGAUUAUUUUGAUGCAAUUUCUGGACAUCAUAUUAUUUCAUCAGUUAAUAUUUUAGUAUACAUCUUUAGUAGAUAAAUAUCACUAAGUAUUUUAGUAUGUAUAUCUAACAAAACCUCCAUUUAUAAAACUACAAACCAAAUAUAUCAGACCUAGCCCCCCGAGUUUUUUAUAUUAUCAACUAUUCAGUGUUCAGAUUUUCCUGAUUGUCUCAUAAUAUUAAACAUUUGUUUUUGUUUGAAUCAAGAUCUAAAUAAGGUGUAUACAUUGCCAUUUGCUGACAUGUCUUAAGUCUUUUAAAAUCUAUAGGUGUCCUCUCCCUUUCCCUACUUCUUAACAACCACCGGCCUCAACGCACACAAUUUAUAUAUGGAAUAAACCUGGUUGUUUGUCUCCAGUGUUUCCUACGGUCUAGAUUGGCAGAUUUUACCCCCGUUAUGUCAUUUAACCCCUUCCUCUGUUCCCUUGUAUUUCCUGUAUAGUGGUAAUUAGCCCUAGAAGCUUGAUCAGAUUCAGGUAAAAUUUUUUUGGCAAGAAUACUUCAUAGGUAUUACCAUAUACUGUCCUAAGAAGACACAUAUGUUUAGUUGAUUUUCUUUUUCUAAUGUUGGUUGAUGAUCAUUGCCUGGAUCCAUUCCUUCAGUAGAGGUUGCAAAAUAGUCAUAUUCUAAUUAUAUCAUGCUGAGAUGGCCGUGAGAAUAUGCCUAGGAGACCUCCUACUGCAUGGAGUGUAAGUGAAGUCAGGCCCCAGCUGCUAUGCUUUGAAAUACAGUGCUGCAUUUGUACUGAGGCCAUUCCUUCCAGCAAUAACUGAGUGCAAUGGGGAUAUUACGGUAGACCUGUUUCUGGGAGACAUGGGAUGCCUUUGUAAGUUGACUUUGGUUCGAUGGCUUUGGCAAACCUCCUUAUACUGCAGAGCAGUUUAGGAUGCUUUAACCAGCCUUCUCUUCAUCUUCACCCUUUUGCACCACAGUCUGACAGCCUUCCCAGCCUUCUCUUGCUCCUUCUCUAUUUCCUUUUACACAAUCAUUUCCUCAAGUAAAAUCCUUUUGCAUUUCAUCCAGUCUGGACAUCUGCUUCUUAACGGACAAGAACUAACACAUAUUCCUUUUUCAUUUAUUAGCUGAAAUGAUUCUAAAAAAAAACAAAAUUCUCCUCAUCAACCAUUUGGUUACCUUGAGGUAUAAUUCCUAUAAAAAGGCAAAUAUAUAUUUUAUUUAUUCCCUUUAUUCACCAGUUUUCAAAAUAAUGAGUUGUUUCCUAGCAUUUUUCAAAAGUAUCCAAUGACGGAAAGUUUUUUUUAGCUUCAUUAUGAACUCAUGAAUUUAAACAUAUUUGGUGCAUUUUGAUCCAUUGCAGUUAUAUUGUUUUAUUUUUUAAGAUGAAGUCUCUCCUUGUCGCCCAGGCUGGAGUGCAAUGGUGUGAUCCUGGCUCACUGCAACCUCUGCCUUCUGGGUUCAAGCAAUUCUCAUGCCUCAGCCUCUGGAGUAGCUGGGAUUACAGGCAUGUGCCACCAUGCCUGGCUAAUUUUGGUAUUUUUGUCAAGAUGGGGUUUUACCAUGUUGGCUGGGCUGGUCUUGAACUCCUGACCUUAAGUGAUCUGCCCGCCUCGGCCUCCCAAAGUGCUGGGAUAAUGGUGAGCCACUGCAACCGGCCCAUUGCAGUUAUUCUUAUUGAUGCUAAAAUUGUUCUUUUAAACCAUAUUGCUUGCUUUCUUGUACAACAAGAUGUUCUCAGAUCAAUUUAUAUAUUUUCUGACUCAGACCUGACAUUGACAAUUUUCCCAAGGAGUCUUGGCUUCUUUUAGUGGGAAAUGUUAGUUAGAGACCAUAAUUUAGAUACUAGAGGUGCUCAUUGUCACUGGGCUUUUUCGGGGGUUAGAGCAAAGAAACAAAUACACAUUUUAAGAAUAAAAUACAAAGUGAUUUCAAAUUGAUACUUUGCUCAUUUUUUUUUGCUAUACAUUUUUAAAAUUAAGGUUUUAGAUAGUAAAAAUGGUUAAUCUUUUCUCUUAUUUCUUUUGAAAUGUGAGUUUUAGGAAAAUUUACCUCACUUUUAGGUUAUAAAGGUAUUUACUCCUAUUUUCUUCUAGAUCUUAUAUUGUUUACAUUUAAAUCUCUCAUCUAAUUUGAAUUUAUUCUCACGUACAAUAUGAGAAACAGAUCCAAUUUUAUCUUUAUCUUAAGAGUAUACAGUUAUAACAAUGCUGCUUACCACAAAGUUCAUAUUUUCCUGACUUGUCACUUUUGUUAUAUACUAAACUGGAAUGAUUUUUUCAAAUACCUUUGAUUGCCAUAAGGAAGGCACCAGCUACAGUUAGAAUUAAGUAACCUCUGGGUUAGAAGGGAUCUUCAGUGGUUUUUAAUCUUGACUAUAUAACAAAAUCUCUUGGGAUACUUAUUAAAAGUAUCUGGUGAGGGCUUGCAUAUUCUUGCUGUGUCCUCACAUGGUGAAGGGGGCAAAAGGGAUGAAAGCUGUGUCCUCACAUGGCAGAAAAGGUGGGAGGGCCAGGCAGCCCUUAUGACUCAAUCACUUCCCCCAAAGCCCUACCACUUAAUACCAUCACAAUAGGGAUUAAUUUUCAAUGUGAAUUUUACAAGGACACAAACAUUCAAACCAUAGCACAUGUAUUUAUCAGACCUUUAGGCAGGAGGUGGCUUCAAGGGAUUCUUGAAUGGAUUAAGGAAAUGUAUUUUUAAUUAAUUAAUAUGGCACUUAUUUUCAACUGAAAAGUAGUAAUACAUAUAUUAUGUACAUAAUGGAACCUCCAUGUCUGCUUAUUCUUAAGUGUUCAUAGGGGUCUCUGUUCUCCUCAAUACCAAUAAUGAUAAUUUGAGGUCCCAAAUGCAAGAUGUCCAGCCAUUGAUUAAGCUCUCAUUCAUUCUGAAAGUAUUUCUGAGAAUCCUAGAGGAGUCCACACACCUGUUUGGUGGUGGCUGGUCCCCUGUGCCAGCUCUUCAGCUCCAGAUUGCUCCAUGGCAAUUUACAACCUAUACACACCUAUUUAAAAAAUGCUCAAACAAGCUCUUUAAUAGUCAGAAAUUUUACAUUAUUCCUGUUCCUUGCCAACUUCCAUUUCACUUCUGAUUUUCCCACAGAAUAUUAUCCUAAUAUAGGUAUUUUUAUUUCUGAAAGCCUUUUAUUUGAUCACUCUGUCAUAGUUCUCUGCAACAAAAGUAGGUAUGUAAAUUAAGCUCUUUUUAUGAUCAUGCCGCUGCACUUGAGUCUGGGUGACACAGCAAGACCCCAUCGCUAAAAAAUAAAAAUAAAAUAAAAAUCUAAA